AAGUCGUAACAAGGUUUCCGUAGGUGAACCUGCGGAAGGAUCAUUAACACGUAUCCAACGUUAAACAACCCUGUGAACUUUAAGUCCCCUCUUGCAGCCCAUGAGGAACAGCAAUCCCGGUAAAUCAUUGAGUUGCAAUCGAAGGGUGGAAGCAGUGGCAUGGCUUCCCCAAGCAGUUAGUGAAUGACAGUGUCACUGACUGUGUAAGGAUAACGCCUCACGGUUGCUAGAGGUCGAUCACCGACCGGCAGACAUGUCACAGGGUCACCACGCCCCUUAAUCACUCCACUUGAAAAUGCCCCGCCUAGUGGUAACGCGCUAGGUAAAAAAAACCGAACAACUGUUAACAAUGGAUAUCUUGGUUCUC
rnacentral:misc_RNA from 1 species